rnacentral:rRNA from 1 species
GGCGAGGGGAGUGAAAAAGAACCUGAAACCGUGUACGUACAAGCAGUGGGAGCCCCACCACCAAAGCAUUCUCUGGUGUUGAAGGCCCUGCAAAGCAGCAUCGCGGUGGCGGAGCGUCGUUUGCGACGCCCAACACACAAAACAAGCGGUGAGUGCUUUGGGGUGGGGUGACUGCGUACCUUUUGUAUAAUGGGUCAGCGACUUAUAUUCUGUAGCAAGGUUAACCGWAUAGGGGAGCCGSAGGGAAACCGAGUCUUAAYYGGGCGUUAAGUUGCAGGGUAUAGACCCGAAACCCGGUGAUCUAGCCAUGGGCAGGUUGAAGGUUGGGUAACACUAACUGGAGGACCGAACCGACUAAUGUUGAAAAAUUAGCGGAUGACCUGUGGCUGGGGGUGAAAGGCCAAUCAAACCGGGAGAUAGCUGGUUCUCCCCGAAAGCUAUUUAGGUAGCGCCUCGUGAAUUCAUCUCCGGGGGUAGAGCACUGUUUCGGCUAGGGGGCCAUCCCGGCUUUCCCGGCUU